GAUGAAGAACGCAGCGAAAUGCGAUAAGUAAUGUGAAUUGCAGAAUUCAGUGAAUCAUCGAAUCUUUGAACGCGCAUUGCGCCCGGUAGUAUUCUGCCGGGCAUGCCUGUUCGAGCGUCAUUUCAACCAUCAAGCCCCAGCGCUUGUGUUGGGGGCCUGCGGCUGCCGCAGCCCCCUAAAAGCAGUGGCGGGCUCGCUAUCACACCGAGUGCAGUAGUUCAUCUUCUCUCCGGUCUUGUGAGGCGGGUUCCGGCCGUGAAACACCCCACUACAUUCAAGGUUGACCUCGGAUCAGGUAGGAAUACCCGCUGAACUUAAGCAUAUCAAUAAGCGGAGGA
rnacentral:misc_RNA from 1 species